rnacentral:rRNA from 1 species
AGAGUUUGAUCCUGGCUCAGGACGAACGCUGGCGGCGUGCCUAAUACAUGCAAGUCGAGCGAGCAGAACCAGCAGAUUUACUUCGGUAAUGACGCUGGGGACGCGAGCGGCGGAUGGGUGAGUAACACGUGGGGAACCUGCCCCAUAGUCUAGGAUACCACUUGGAAACAGGUGCUAAUACCGGAUAAUAAAGCAGAUCGCAUGAUCAGCUUAUAAAAGGCGGCGUAAGCUGUCGCUAUGGGAUGGCCCCGCGGUGCAUUAGCUAGUUGGUAAGGUAACGGCUUACCAAGGCAAUGAUGCAUAGCCGAGUUGAGAGACUGAACGGCCACAUUGGGACUGAGACACGGCCCAAACUCCUACGGGAGGCAGCAGUAGGGAAUCUUCCACAAUGGACGCAAGUCUGAUGGAGCAACGCCGCGUGAGUGAAGAAGGUUUUCGGAUCGUAAAGCUCUGUUGUUGGUGAAGAAGGAUAGAGGUAGUAACUGGCCUUUAUUUGACGGUAAUCAACCAGAAAGUCACGGCUAACUACGUGCCAGCAGCCGCGGUAAUACGUAGGUGGCAAGCGUUGUCCGGAUUUAUUGGGCGUAAAGCGAGCGCAGGCGGAAGAAUAAGUCUGAUGUGAAAGCCCUCGGCUUAACCGAGGAAUUGCAUCGGAAACUGUUUUUCUUGAGUGCAGAAGAGGAGAGUGGAACUCCAUGUGUAGCGGUGGAAUGCGUAGAUAUAUGGAAGAACACCAGUGGCGAAGGCGGCUCUCUGGUCUGCAACUGACGCUGAGGCUCGAAAGCAUGGGUAGCGAACAGGAUUAGAUACCCUGGUAGUCCAUGCCGUAAACGAUGAGUGCUAAGUGUUGGGAGGUUUCCGCCUCUCAGUGCUGCAGCUAACGCAUUAAGCACUCCGCCUGGGGAGUACGACCGCAAGGUUGAAACUCAAAGGAAUUGACGGGGGCCCGCACAAGCGGUGGAGCAUGUGGUUUAAUUCGAAGCAACGCGAAGAACCUUACCAGGUCUUGACAUCUAGUGCCAUCCUAAGAGAUUAGGAGUUCCCUUCGGGGACGCUAAGACAGGUGGUGCAUGGCUGUCGUCAGCUCGUGUCGUGAGAUGUUGGGUUAAGUCCCGCAACGAGCGCAACCCUUAUUAUUAGUUGCCAGCAUUAAGUUGGGCACUCUAAUGAGACUGCCGGUGACAAACCGGAGGAAGGUGGGGAUGACGUCAAGUCAUCAUGCCCCUUAUGACCUGGGCUACACACGUGCUACAAUGGGCAGUACAACGAGAAGCGAGCCUGCGAAGGCAAGCGAAUCUCUGAAAGCUGUUCUCAGUUCGGACUGCAGUCUGCAACUCGACUGCACGAAGCUGGAAUCGCUAGUAAUCGCGGAUCAGAACGCCGCGGUGAAUACGUUCCCGGGCCUUGUACACACCGCCCGUCACACCAUGGAAGUCUGCAAUGCCCAAAGCCGGUGGCCUAACCUUCGGGAAGGAGCCGUCUAAGGCAGGGCAGAUGACUGGGGUGAAGUCGUAACAAGGUAGCCGUAGGAGAACCUGCGGCUGGAUCACCUCCUUUCUA